UAUGAAAAAGGUAUUAUGAUUGAGAAUAUAAAGAACUAGAGAUUUUAGUACCUUUUUCUUUUGAGAAUGAGGUAGCAUGCUACCGCCUCAUUCAAUAAAGAAAAAAAAAUACUGAUUAAUAAUCAUAUUUAAGUAUUUUGGACAGAUAAUUUAGAUCAGAUGAGUUUUCAGUGUUAGUGGACUGGAUUAUUACAUUUGGUAUUAAAAUUAGUUACUAGCUAUNGUAAUGUGUUUGGAUUUCGUCAUCUACUAAUUAAAGUUAGGAGCCUUUAAUUUAAUAUGGUUUUCAAAUUUUGAUUUCUUAUUUCAACCUAACUUUUUUUUUUUUUUUUUGUGGCCUGAUCAUGUUUUAAGUGUGUGUGAGAGAGAUUGGAAGUUAGUUGCUGCAUCUAGAGCCACCAUAGCCUUAUCGCCGUUCCAAACUAAUUUCACUAAGCUCUCUUUAAUGCACUAAAAAAGUGACGUUAACGAAACCUUAUCUAUUGACACCUAUGUGCACCGGAACAAAAACUUUCACUUAAGACCUACGUCGUAUGAAAAAGGUAUUAUGAUUGAGAAUAUAAAGAACUAGAGAUUUUAGUACCUUUUUCUUUUGAGAAUGAGGUAGCAUGCUACCGCCUCAUUCAAUAAAGAAAAAAAAAUACUGAUUAAUAAUCAUAUUUAAGUAUUUUGGACAGAUAAUUUAGAUCAGAUGAGUUUUCAGUGUUAGUGGACUGGAUUAUUACAUUUGGUAUUAAAAUUAGUUACUAGCUAUUUUGAACUAUCAAAAGAUGACAUUA
rnacentral:lncRNA from 1 species